GACGAACGCUGGCGGCGUGCCUAAUACAUGCAGGUUGAGCGCUGAAGGUUGGUACUUGUCCCGACUGGCUGAGCAGCGAACGGGUGAGUAACGCGUGGGGAAUCUGCCUUUGAGCGGGGGACAACAUUUGGAAACGAAUGCUAAUACCGCAUAAAAACUUUAAACACAAGUUUUAAGUUUGAAAGAUGCAAUUGCAUCACUCAAGGAUGAUCCCGCGUUGUAUUAGCUAGUUGGUGAGGUAAAGGCUCACCAAGGCGAUGAUACAUAGCCGACCUGAGAGGGUGAUCGGCCACAUUGGGACUGAGACACGGCCCAAACUCCUACGGGAGGCAGCAGUAGGGAAUCUUCGGCAAUGGACGAAAGUCUGACCGAGCAACGCCGCGUGAGUGAAGAAGGGUUUCGGAUCGUAAAACUCUGUUGGUAGAGAAGAACGUUGGUGAGAGUGGAAAGCUCAUCAAGUGACGGUAACUACCCAGAAAGGGACGGCUAACUACGUG
rnacentral:rRNA from 1 species